rnacentral:lncRNA from 1 species
GCGCCGCUGCAAUGCGGGGCGGCAACGGGUACUGUCGCAGAGGCAACCAGAGGAGAAUCGCUCCAUGUGGGCGAGCCCUGGGACUUGGCAUGUCCGCUGUUUUAGAGGUGAAGCAGCAUCCCAAUAUGCUUGUGAUCCAGAUAGCUCAAUUGAUCAUAUUCACGUGGCCACGCUGGAUGAAAUGUGGAUCAGUGACAACCCUGAGCACAAGGCAACCCUAAGUCACAUGCUAACAGUGGAGGAAGACAGAACAUAGGUCCCUGUGACAAUGCUCAGCUACAGAAGCCUUGGCCUGCUGCAUUGGCCGAGCACAUUUGUAAUAAAUUCAGAGUCACCAAC